UUUUGGACAAUGGGCGCAAGCCUGAUCCAGCAAUGCCGCGUGCAGGAUGAAGGCCUUCGGGUUGUAAACUGCUUUUGUACGGAACCCGACGGCGAGCUCUAAUACAGUUUGCUAAUGACGGUACCGUAAGAAUAAGCACCGGCUAACUACGUGCCAGCAGCCGCGGUAAUACGUAGGGUGCAAGCGUUAAUCGGAAUUACUGGGCGUAAAGCGUGCGCAGGCGGUUAUGUAAGACAGAUGUGAAAUCCCCGGGCUUAACCUGGGAACUCCAUUUGUGACUGCAUAGCUAGAGUACGGUAGAGGGGGAUGGAAUUCCGCGUGUAGCAGUGAAAUGCGUAGAUAUGCGGAGGAACACCGAUGGCGAAGGCAAUCCCCUGACCUGUACUGACGCUCAUGCACGAA
rnacentral:rRNA from 1 species